rnacentral:rRNA from 1 species
CGGUGGUUCCGCAUGGAAGGGCCAUCGCUCAACGGAUAAAAGCUACCCCGGGGAUAACAGGCUUAUCUCCCCCAAGAGUCCACAUCGACGGGGAGGUUUGGCACCUCGAUGUCGGCUCAUCGCAUCCUGGGGCUGUAGUCGGUCCCAAGGGUUGGGCUGUUCGCCCAUUAAAGCGGUACGCGAGCUGGGUUCAGAACGUCGUGAGACAGUUCGGUCCCUAUCCGUCGUGGGCGUAGGAAAUUUGAGAGGAGCUGUCCUUAGUACGAGAGGACCGGGAUGGACGCACCGCUGGUGUACCAGUUGUUCUGCCAAGGGCAUAGCUGGGUAGCUAUGUGCGGAAGGGAUAAGUGCUGAAAGCAUCUAAGCAUGAAGCCCCCCUCAAGAUGAGAUUUCCCAUAGCGUAAGCUAGUAAGAUCCCUGAAAGAUGAUCAGGUUGAUAGGUUCGAGGUGGAAGCAUGGUGACAUGUGGAGCUGACGAAUACUAAUAGAUCGAGGACUUAACCAUAUAA